rnacentral:rRNA from 1 species
AGUGAACGCUGGCGGUAGGCCUAACACAUGCAAGUCGAACGGCAGCACAGUAAGAGCUUGCUCUUACGGGUGGCGAGUGGCGGACGGGUGAGGAAUACAUCGGAAUCUACUUUUUCGUGGGGGAUAACGUAGGGAAACUUUCGCUAAUACCGCAUACGACCUACGGGUGAAAGCAGGGGAUCUUCGGACCUUACGCGAUUGAAUGAGCCGAUGUCGGAUUAGCUAGUUGGCGGGGUAAAGGCCCACCAAGGCGACGAUCCGUAGCUGGUCUGAGAGGAUGAUCAGCCACACUGGAACUGAGACACGGUCCAGACUCCUACGGGAGGCAGCAGUGGGGAAUAUUGGACAAUGGGCGCAAGCCUGAUCCAGCCAUACCGCGUGGGUGAAGAAGGCCUUCGGGUUGUAAAGCCCUUUUGUUGGGAAAGAAAAGCAGCAGGUUAAUACCCCGCUGUUCUGACGGUACCCAAAGAAUAAGCACCGGCUAACUUCGUG